rnacentral:other from 1 species
AAUUGUGCAAUAAAUGCUCUAUAAGCAAAAAAUCGAGACAUUUAUCACUUUUUCAUCAAAUGGUGCUGGACAAAUUGCACCGCAAUUGAUGUACUACGUGACGACACAGUUUAGUGUCCAUUUUUCAAGUAAAGGUAAUAUAGAUGUCCAAGAUUAAAGGUAACGUUAAGUGGUUUAAUGAAUCUAAAGGAUUCGGUUUCAUUACUCCUGAAGAUGGCAGCAAAGAUGUAUUCGUACACUUCUCUGCAAUCCAGAGCAAUGGCUUCAAAACUCUGGCUGAAGGUCAGCGCGUAGAGUUUGAAAUUACUGACGGUGCUAAAGGCCCAUCUGCUGCUAACGUUAUCAGCCUGUAAUUUUCAGUCAGAAUCUCUAAAACCCGCCAAUGGCGGGUUUUUUAUU